rnacentral:rRNA from 1 species
CCGCCGCGCGCGGCGGGCUACGGGAGGCAGCAGUGGGGAAUAUUGCACAAUGGGCGCAAGCCUGAUGCAGCCAUGCCGCGUGUAUGAAGAAGACCUUCGGGUUGUAAAGUACUUUCAGCGGGGAGGAAGGCGUUGAGGUUAAUAACCUCAGCAAUUGACGUUACCCGCAGAAGAAGCACCGGCUAACUCCGUGCCAGCAGCCGCGGUAAUA